AUAUUAUGUUGGUACAAAAGUAAUUGCACUUUUGCCGUUGUAAGUAAUGGUAAAAACUGCAAUUACUUUUGCAUCAACCUAAUA
rnacentral:miRNA from 1 species